UUUGAGGAAGUUCAGAGAUUUCAAACUUAAUAGAGGAUGUGAAAUCCAUCCUGAAUUCAAUUUCAGAUAUUGAUAAGCUGGUAUGUCCUCAUUGGUGUUAAUGAUGAUACUCAUUAUUUAUCCAGAAUACUUAUCCAGAAUUUACUUCAUGCCAGGGGGAAUGUCCACAGUCAUCUUGAUCCUGUAUUGUAAGCAUGACAGCAGUGGAAUAAGGAAGAGCCUGAGAGUCAC